rnacentral:rRNA from 1 species
AGAGCGAACGCUGGCGGCAGGCCUAACACAUGCAAGUCGAGCGCCCCGCAAGGGGAGCGGCAGACGGGAGAGUAACACGUGGGAACGUACCCUUCAGUUCGGAACAACCCAGGGAAACUUGGGCUAAUACCGGAUACGUCCGUAAGGAGAAAGAUUUAUCGCUGAAGGAUCGGCCCGCGUCUGAUUAGCUAGUUGGUGGGGUAACGGCUCACCAAGGCGACGAUCAGUAGCUGGUCUGAGAGGAUGAUCAGCCUCACUGGGACUGAGACACGGCCCAGACUCCUACGGGAGGCAGCAGUGGGGAAUAUUGGACAAUGGGCGCAAGCCUGAUCCAGCCAUGCCGCGUGGGUGAUGAAGGCCCUAGGGUUGUAAAGCCCUUUCGGCGGGGAAGAUAAUGACGGUACCGCAGAAGAAGCCCAGGCUAACUUCGCGCCAGCAGCCGC